rnacentral:rRNA from 1 species
GACGAACGCUGGCGGCGUGCUUAACACAUGCAAGUCGAACGGAAAGGCCCGGCCUUUGUGCGGUGCUCGAGGUGCGAACGGGGGAGUAACACGUGAGUAACCUGCCACUGACUUUGGGAUAACUUCAGGAAACUGGGGCUAAUACCGGCUAGGAGCUCCUGCUGCAUGGUGGGGGUGGGAAAGUUUCGGCGGUUGGGGGUGGACUCGCGGCCUAUCAGCUUGUUGGAUGGGUAGUGGCUUAGCAAGGCAUGGCCGGGUGGCAGGGCUGGGAGGGUGAGCGGCCACGUUGGGAUGGAGCUGCGACACAGACCAGUACGGGACGCGGCGGAGGAGUAGAGUACACAGUGGGCGGAGGCCUGACGCAGCAACGCCGCGUGGGGGAUGACGGCAUUCGGGUUGUGUUCCGAUUUCGCCUGUGACGAGGCGUGAGUGACGGUAAUGGGUAAAGAAGCUCCGGCUAACUACGUG